rnacentral:misc_RNA from 1 species
GGAGCUGUUAAAUAAUGGUUUCUUUAUCUUCCACAUGCAACUGUUAUGACUCUCAGAUUCGAUGCUGUAACUGCUGAGUUGCAAUUUGUUGCAUGUUUCGUGCUAUGUCUAGCUGCUACUGAUAUGCCAUGGGAAAGGGAUCGCCUAAGAGCCAUAUGCUGAAGAGCCCUAUGUCCAAGAGUUCUGUGCUGAGGAGUCCUAUGCCGAAGAGUCCUAUGCCGAAGAGUCCUAUUCCGAAGAGUCCAGUUGCCUAUGAGAAAUACAAGUCAAGAUGUGCAUAUGGUUUAAUGAGUUGCUUCCGUUUUCGGCAUGGUCACUCAAAGAAGCUGAUUUCUG